CUUUCUCUGCCCUUUUAGCUUCUUUCUACUCUUUACUAACGAUGGGGCUUUUCCUCAGAAAUACUGAUUUUAAAGAAAGCCAAGAAGAUUCAUUCUCCUCUCGUCUCCUUCAGGGAAAACAAAACAAAACCAGGUUAGACUCUUAAGCACUGUUUCAGUGUGUCAGCUCCUGUUCAGAGCUAGACAGGAGUACAAAGAAGGGCAGUCGUAUCCAAACUGAAGACGCUAAUGUGAAAAGCGACCCAACUUAUUUUUAGGUAAGGUCACCACCAAGUUGAAUUAGACAGCGAGUUUUGAAACACAGAUUCUUAAAAUACAGCUUCAUUUGCUCUAGUUUUGUGAAGUAAAUAAAGAGCAGGUCAUAAAGACACAGGUAGCUUAGCAACAGCACAUUAUUCCAUCCCUGUUCUCCAAAUUACGAUUUGCAGCUUUCAAUCAGGCAGAUAAUUUCUUACAGUAGAUGUACUGUAAGACCAACACAGACCAGUACCUUUCAGAACUUCAAUUAAAUCUGCUAUUAUAAAUGUGGAGCUAUUUUCCUCCACUGCUUCCCAAGAAGCCUUCAGUCAAGAGAGAAAACAGCUCUAUUAGCUGUAUGUGCAUAGCAGCAUGCUGUGUUUUGUCUCACUGCUUUGUUCUCAAUUCUCCAGCAUCAUCUUAGGAAAGUAUUUACAUGUCAUCCACUUAUCCCAGCUCCGUGGAGAAAAGAACAUGGACAUUAUUUAUGGGAAAAGCUGCACAGAGUCUGAAAGACAUCAAGAGCUCAAGACUACCAGUUUGUGUGUGAUGCCCA